UUCAAACCUAAUUAUGGCUUUCAAGAGGCAAUAUCCUAUUUUGGUGAUUCUCUUUCUUUCUGUGUUGCUUCUUUCUGCUGAAGCAACCUCACGGUUCACAAGAGAGAAGGAUACUCGCCACCCAAGUAUCAAGCAAUCGAUGUUUGAAAAGAGUGACAUCACGCGAUAAACCUCGUUGCACAAUUAUUAGAAAUAAUAAUAAUGUAAUGCUUCUGAUCUAUUUGUAAAUUCUUUGUCUACAUAGUUAUUUAGUUAUUUUGUAUAUUGUACUGUUAUUACAAACCCAAAGGGCUCCACAGCUGCGUGUUGCAAAUUAUACACCAAUUAUGUAAUGUUGGAAUAUUUAUAAAUA